rnacentral:lncRNA from 12 species
UGGGGUGAUUUUUGCCGGUGGCUUUGGGGACGCCCCGAGCUCAGAAUGACCCCAGGCUGUGCCCGCAGUGGCUCCGGACACGGCGCUGGACGAGCAGCUGGACACGGCGCUGGCCGGAGCCGCGCUGGCCCUGGGCGUGCUCCUGGCCCUGCUGGGGGCUGGGCUGGCCCUGCUGGCCCGCGGUACGGAGAUAAGCCCGGCCUAAACCCGGGUCUGGGUCUAGUUCUGAUCCUGGACCUGGUUUUGGGUCUGGGUCUGGUUCUGAUCCCGGUUCUGAUCCUGAUCCUGGUCCUGAUCCAUGGUAUGAUCUUGGUUUUAACCCUGAUCCUGAUCCCGGUUCUGGUCCCAGUUCUGAUCCACGUUCUGAUCCUGAUCCUGGUUCUGAUCCUUGACCUUGAUCCCAAUCCUGGUCCGGGUCCCGGUUCUGAUCCCAGUCCUAACUCUGGUCCCAGUUCUAAUUCCAAUUCUGAUCCUGGUCCUGAUUCUAAUCCAGGUUCAGAUCCCGGUUCUGAUCCUGAUCCUGGGUCUAAUCCCAGUUCAGAUCCCAGUUCUGAUCCUGGUACCGAUCCUGGUCCCGAUUCCGGCUCUGAUCCCGGUUCUGAUCCUGAUCCCGGUUCUCAUCCCGGUUUUAAAUUUGAUCCUGACACCUUUUCUUAUUCCGGUCCCAAACCCCGGUUUUGAUCCCAGUUCUGAUCCCGAUUCUGAUCCUGAUCCCGGUUCUGAUCCCGGUCCUAAUCCUGCUCCUGGUUCUAAUUCUAAUUCUGAUCCCGGUUCUAAUCCCGGUUCUGAUCCCGGUUCUGAUCCCGAUUCUGAUCCUUGCUCCUGGUUCUAAUUAUAAUUCUGAUCCCGGUUCUAAUCCUGGUUCUGAUCCCGGUUCUGAUCCCGAUUCUGAUCCUGAUCCCGAUUCUGAUCCCGGUUCUGAUCCCGGUCCUAAUCCUGCUCCUGGUUCUAAUUCUAAUUCUGAUCCCGGUUCUAAUCCGGGGGGGGGGGGGGGGGGGGGGGGGGGGGGGGGGGGGGGGGGGGGGGGGGGGGGGGGGGGGGGGGGGGGGGGGGGGGGGGGGGGGGGGGGGGCUGAUCCCGGUUCUGAUCCCGCUCCUAAUCCUGCUCCUGGUUCUAAUUAUAAUUCUGAUCCCGGUUCUAAUCCUGGUUCUGAUCCCGGUUCUGAUCCCAGUCCCGGUUCCAACUCCCAGAGUGGCUCCCAGUGCUCCCAGUUCACUCCCAGUGCUCCAAAUUCCCUCCCAGUCCCUCCCAGUUUAUCCCAGUGCUUCCAGUCCCUCCCAGUGCCCCCAAUCCCCUCCCAGUCCAUCCCAAUCCCCUCCCAGUUCCCUCCCAGUUCCCUCCCAGUUUAUCCCAAACCAUUCCCAGUUUAUCCCAAUCCAUUCCCAGUUCCCUCCCAGUUUAUCCCAAUCCCUCCCAGUUCACUCCCAGUGCUCCCAAUUCAUCCCAAUUCCCUCCCAGUCUCUCCGUCUCUCCCAGUUCAACCCACUUCACUCCCAGUUCACUCCCAGUCCCUCCCAAUCCCCUCCCAGUGCUCCCAGUUUAUCCCAAUCCCUCCCAGUUCACUCCUAGUCCGCUCCCAGUAACAGCUCCCAGUCCCUCCCAGUUCAUCCCAGUCACUCUCACUUCACUCCCAGCUCACUCCCAGUCCCUCCCAGUCUCUCCCAAUCCCCUCCCAAUUUAUCCCAGUCCCUGACAAUUCCCUCCCAGUCCCUCCCAGUUAAUCCCAAUCUCCUCUCAAUCCCCUCCCAGUCUCUCCCAGUCCCUCCCAGUUCAUCCCAAUCCAUUCCCAGUUUAUCCCAGUCCCUGACAAUUCCCUCCCAGUCAAUCCCAAUCUCCUCUCAAUCCCCUCCCAGUUCCCUCCCAGUCUCUCCCAGUCCCUCACAGUCCCCUCCCAGUCCCUCCCAGUCCCUCCCAAUCCAUUCCCAGUUUAUCCCAGUCCCUGACAAUUCCCUCCCAGUCGGGGGGGGGGGGGGGGGGGGGGGGGGGGGGGG